rnacentral:rRNA from 1 species
AGCGAACGCUGGCGGCAGGCCUAACACAUGCAAGUCGAACGAACCUUUCGGGGUUAGUGGCGGAUGGGUGAGUAACACGUGGGAACGUGCCCUUAGGUUCGGAAUAACUCAGGGAAACGGGUGCUAAUACCGAAUGUGCCCUUCGGGGGAAUGAUUUUUCGCCUUUAAUGGGGCCCGCGUCUGAUUAGCUAUUGGUUUGAGGUAUUGGUUCACCAGGGCGACAUUAAGUAGCUGGUAUGGGAGGGUGAUCAGCAACAUUGGGACUGAGACACGGCCCAAACUCCUACGGGAGGCAGCAGUGGGGAAUCUUGCGCAAUGGGCGAAAGCCUGACGCAGCCAUGCCGCGUGAAUGAUGAAGGUCUUAGGAUUGUAAAAUUCUUUCACCGGGGACGAUAAUGACGGUACCCGGAGAAGAAGCCCCGGCUAACUUCGUG